rnacentral:rRNA from 1 species
CCUACGGGAGGCAGCAGUCGAGAAUCAUUCACAAUGGGGGAAACCCUGAUGGUGCGACGCCGCGUGGGGGAAUGAAGGUCUUCGGAUUGUAAACCCCUGUCAUGUGGGAGCAAAUUAAAAAGAUAGUACCACAAGAGGAAGAGACGGCUAACUCGGUGCCAGCAGCCGCGGUAAUACAGAGGUCUCAAGCGUUGUUCGGAAUCACUGGGCGUAAGGCGUGCGUAGGCUGUUUCGUAAGUCGUGUGUGAAAGGCGCGGGCUCAACCCGCGGACGGCACAUGAUACUGCGAGACUAGAGUAAUGGAGGGGGAACCGGAAUUCUCGGUGUAGCAGUGAAAUGCGUAGAUAUCGAGAGGAACACUCGUGGCGAAGGCGGGUUCCUGGACAUUAACUGACGCUGAGGCACGAAGGCCAGGGGAGCGAAAGGGAUUAGAUACCCGGGUAGUC